AAAAGAUCUGUAUGAACAAAGACAAAAGGAAAAAGAAGAAAAAGAUAGAGAACAAAAAUUACUGAACGAGAUAAAUCAAUUUAAGGAAAAAUUGGAAAUAAAAAACAAAGAAUUAGAAAUAAAUAAUAUAGACGUUGAAGAGACAGAUAAUUAUGAUUCAGAAGAUAGUGAAACAUAUACAGAAAUAUUAACAAAUACAAAAAAUUUAGAAAUCAAUGAAAAACANNN
rnacentral:lncRNA from 1 species